UAGGGAAUAUUGGACAAUAGGGGCAACCCUGAUCCAGCCAUGCCGCGUGAGUGAAGAAGGCCCUCGGGUUGUAAAGCUCUUUUGUCCGGAAAGAAAAGCAUUCGGUGAAUACCCGGAUGUUCUGACGGUACCGAAAGAAUAAGCACCGGCUAACUUCGUGCCAGCAGCCGCGGUAAUACGAAGGGUGCAAGCGUUACUCGGAAUUACUGGGCGUAAAGCGUGCGUAGGUGGUUGUUUAAGUCUGAUGUGAAAGCCCUGGGCUCAACCUGGGAAUGGCAUUGGAAACUGGGCAGCUAGAGUGCGGUAGAGGGUAGUGGAAUUCCCGGUGUAGCAGUGAAAUGCGUAGAGAUCGGGAGGAACAUCUGUGGCGAAGGCGACUGCCUGGACCAGCACUGACACUGAGGCACGAAAGCGUGGGGAGCAAACA
rnacentral:rRNA from 1 species